UCCUUCUCCACCCUCUCCAUCUCUCUCAUCGACCCAUUUGAACUCUCUCUACGUCCGACGCUUUUUUUCCAGAAUCUUAAAACCCGCAGUAUCUCCGCUGCAUUCUGCCUUUUAGAAUUCUCGAUGGCUGACAGAAAAUUAGAUCUACCUGAUGAUAAAACCAGCUCUGAUCACUCCUUCCCCAAAGGUGAAGCAUGGGAAAGGAACUUGGUGGACAAAGGACUCACGGGGUUACUUGAGGACACAAAAGAUCAAGCAAUUUCAGAGAGCAACAUACCUUUGUCCCCACAGUGACUUUACGCUAAACCAUCUGAUUCUAAGAUGUUAUCUGCUGGAAUUUCUGGGGUUAUAAGAACUUCAAAUUUGUUGCCGAAUAAAACCUCUGGUGAUCCUAAUCCAAAAGAUAGUUGGCGGUUGGAUGGGUCUCAGAACAAGAAAGGCUGGAGAACUGCCCCUGAUCUUGAAAGCAGUCAUCACUGGCGUGAAGAGGAGAGAGAAACAAGCUUACUUGGCCGAAGAGAUCGCAAAAAAGAAGACUGCCGUGCUGAUGUUUCAUCGACAAGGGAUGUUUCUGAAAAUAGGACAUUGGCAUCUUCAGAGCGAUGGCAUGAUGUUAGCAGUCGUAAUUCAAGCCUUGAAUCUCGAAGAGACAACAAGUGGUCUUCAAGAUGGGGUCCUGAAGUCAAAGAAAAGGAUUCUCGAACUGAAAAGAGGACAGAUGUUGAGAAGGAAGAUGCACCUACUGACAAACAAGCUCUUCUCAGUGGGGGCUGCUUAGCUUCUGACUGCAAGAAUGAUUCUCGUGAUAAGUGGAGGCCACGACAUCGUUUGGAAAUUCAUGCAGGUGGGUCUGUUUCUUACCAUAGUGCUCCAGGCUUUGGUUCAGAAAAGGGACGAGUGGAGGGAUCAAAUGUGAGGUUUGCAGGACGAGGUAGAUCAAAUGCUAAUGGAAGCCUACAAAUUGGGAAGCUAAAUCUGCUUCUGUCAUUGGAUCUCUUCCUCUGGACAAAAGCAGAACUUUUAAUACAUAUUGCCACCCAAGAGGAAAACUCCUUGACAUUUACCGCAAGCAAAAGGCUGCUCCAAAUUUUUACAUCCUGUCUGCUGAGAUGGAUCAUUUAUCACCAAUAACACAAAAAGAAACUGUCGAGCCUUUGGCUUUUGUUCCUCCUGAUGCAGAAGAAGAGGCUGUCCUUGGAGAUAUAUGGAAGGGAAAA